GACGAACGCUGGCGGCGUGCUUAACACAUGCAAGUCGAACGGAAAGGCCUCAGCUUGCUGGGGUACUCGAGUGGCGAACGGGUGAGUAACACGUGGGUGAUCUGCCCUGCACUCUGGGAUAAGCUUAGGAAACUGGGUCUAAUACCGGAUAUGAACUGCCGUUAGUGUGGUGGUUGGAGAGUUUUUUCGGUGUAAGGUGAGCUCGCGGCCUAUCAGCUUGUUUGUGGGGUAAGGGCCUAACACGGCGUCGUCGGGUAUCCGGGCCGAGGGGGUGUACGGCCACAUUGGGAACGAGAUAAGGCCCAGACUCCUACGGGGGGGAAGAGGGGGGGAAAAUGGACCAAGGGGGGAAGCCCGAUGCAAGGAAGCCGGGGGGGGGAAGAACGCCUUUGGGUUGUAAACCCGCUUCGACAUGGAAGGAGCUUUUUGUGACGGUAACGGUAUAAGAAGCACCGGCUAACUACGUG
rnacentral:rRNA from 1 species